rnacentral:rRNA from 1 species
UACGAAGGGAGCUAGCGUUGUUCGGAAUCACUGGGCGUAAAGCGCACGUAGGCGGUCUUUUAAGUCGGGGGUGAAAUCCUGGAGCUCAACUCCAGAACUGCCUUCGAUACUGGAAGACUUGAGUCCGGGAGAGGUGAGUGGAACUGCGAGUGUAGAGGUGAAAUUCGUAGAUAUUCGCAAGAACACCAGUGGCGGAGGCGGCUCACUGGCCCGGUACUGACGCUGAGGUGCGAAAGCGUGGGGAGCAAACAGG